rnacentral:rRNA from 1 species
ACUCCUACGGGAGGCAGCAGUGGGGAAUAUUGCACAAUGGGCGCAAGCCUGAUGCAGCCAUGCCGCGUGUGUGAAGAAGGCCUUCGGGUUGUAAAGCACUUUCAGCAGUGAGGAAGGCGGAGUCGUUAAUAGCGGCCUCGUUUGACGUUAGCUGCAGAAGAAGCACCGGCUAACUCCGUGCCAGCAGCCGCGGUAAUACGGAGGGUGCGAGCGUUAAUCGGAAUUACUGGGCGUAAAGCGCAUGCAGGUGGUUUGUUAAGUCAGAUGUGAAAGCCCGGGGCUCAACCUCGGAAUAGCAUUUGAAACUGGCAGACUAGAGUACUGUAGAGGGGGGUAGAAUUUCAGGUGUAGCGGUGAAAUGCGUAGAGAUCUGAAGGAAUACCGGUGGCGAAGGCGGCCCCCUGGACAGAUACUGACACUCAGAUGCGAAAGCGUGGGGA